AUUGAACGCUGGCGGCAUGCCUUACACAUGCAAGUCGAACGGCAGCGUAGGAGCUUGCUCCUGAUGGCGAGUGGCGAACGGGUGAGUAAUAUAUCGGAACGUGCCCUAGAGUGGGGGAUCACUAGCCGAAAGACUAGCUAAUACCGCAUCCGAUCUACGGUUGCAAGUGGGGGAUCGCAAGACUUCAUGCUCCUGGAGCGGCCGAUAUCUGAUUAGCUAGUUGGUGGGGUAAAAGCCUACCAAGGCGACGAUCAGUAGCUGGUCUGAGAGGACGACCAGCCACACUGGGACUGAGACACGGCCCAGACUCCUACGGGAGGCAGCAGUGGGGAAUUUUGGACAAUGGGGCAACCCUGAUCCAGCAAUGCCGCGUGAGUGAAGAAGGCCUUCGGGUUGUAAAGCUCUUUUGUCAGGGAAGAAACGGUAGUAGCUAAUAUCUAUUACUAAUGACGGUACCUGAAGAAUAAGCACCGGCUAACUACGUGCCAGCCGCCGCAGUAA
rnacentral:rRNA from 1 species